UACAGAGGUCCCAAGCGUUGUUCGGAUUCACUGGGCGUAAAGAGUGCGUAGGCGGUUGGGUAAGUCUGAUGUGAAAUCUCACAGCUUAACUGUGAAACUGCAUUGGAUACUAUUCGGCUAGAGGAAUGGAGGGGAGACUGGAAUACUUGGUGUAGCAGUGAAAUGCGUAGAUAUCAAGUGGAACACCAGUGGCGAAGGCGAGUCUCUGGACAUUUCCUGACGCUGAGGCACGAAAGCCAGGGGAGCAAACGGG
rnacentral:rRNA from 1 species